rnacentral:lncRNA from 1 species
AUGCAAGAUUGAGCCUUACCGGACUGUUGUGGUGCCUUGGCUUUCCAAUUGCUUUGCUUUUCAUUUUGACUCCACUUGCUAAACUUUCCCUUUUUAUUGUUUGAACCUCCAUGAUUGCUUGAAGUUAUUUUUAAUGCUUACUUUGAUUGGAAGGCUUGUUCGGUUGAUUGUUGAUUGACUUGUCGAACGAUUGAUUCUUUGUUCAUGUGCAAGAAGCGAUCUGGUCAACUUGUACAUGGUCAUUUUAGACAAAUCCUUUGAUUCUUCAAUCGCGGCGGCUACAUGAUUGAAUUUUGAAGGGAGACAUUGAAGCACUUUUUCAACAACUCUUUUGUCUUUAAUUGUAUCUCCACAACUUUUGAUUUGGUUUACAAUCUCUGAAACUCGUGAAGAGAAAUCACGAACCGACUCUCGUUCUUCCAUUUUGAGAUUGUCAAAAUCUUUCCAUAAAGAUUGAAGUUUCAAGGCGAUAGUUUUCUUCGAACCUUGAAAUUCUUGAUUUAAAAUUUUACAUGCAUCUUUGGCUUUUUUAACACCAAAUAUACAAGGAAAAAUUGAUUUUCCAACUCUUUGUUGAAUAUGUCGCAACGCCAUUGCAUCUUUCUUUUUAUAUUCCUUUUGUAAUUUUGGAUCUUCUUCAUCUCCUUCGGUUGAAUCUUCUACCACCUCAUCAUCUUCAAUGACUUCCCAUAAAUCUAAAGAGAUGAAUUUUUUUUUUCAUUUGACUACUCCAAUGUUUUUUUUUUUUCAUUUGACUACUCCAAUGUCCAUAGUGCUCACCUUCAAAGAUUGGCACUUGACUUGGUGAAUAAGUGAACAAGGAGGCCGCCGAAUUUGUUGCCUUAAUUUUCCUGUUUCUGUUAAAAAAUCUGCUGGUAUUAUGAUUUUUUUAGGCUGGUUUUAUCUCAGCUUUUGGUAGGAAUUUAGUAGGAAUGGGUUUAUGAAUUUUAACCUUGCUCUGAUACCAAAAUUUGUUGGAUGUAGAAGGAUAGAGAUUGGAGAAAUAUGAGAUUUUACUGAUGAAAUUUCGGGAUUACAAAUGAGUUGCUACAACACACUCUUUCUCUCUAUUUUUUGAGAGGUUUUUUCUCACUUCUUCUACAUAUAUGACACUAGUUGGAUGCCUUCCUAUUUAUAGAAAACAUUGAGUAAACUAGUCCUAAGAAUUUUCUACAAUUACAACCAGAUAAAGGCUAUUUUUCUUCUCCAUUUGCAG